rnacentral:rRNA from 1 species
CCUACGGGAGGCAGCAGUAAGGAAUAUUGGUCAAUGGACGAAAGUCUGAACCAGCCAUGCCGCGUGAAGGAUUAAGGCCCUCUGGGUUGUAAACUUCUUUUAUCUGGGACGAAAAAAGGGUAUUCUUACUCACUUGACGGUACCAGAGGAAUAAGCACCGGCUAACUCCGUGCCAGCAGCCGCGGUAAUACGGAGGGUGCAAGCGUUAUCCGGAUUUACUGGGUUUAAAGGGUGCGUAGGUGGGCUUGUAAGUCAGUGGUGAAAUCUCCGGGCUUAACCCGGAAACUGCCAUUGAUACUAUAGGUCUUGAAUUAUCUGGAGGUAAGCGGAAUAUGUCAUGUAGCGGUGAAAUGCUUAGAUAUGACAUAGAACACCAAUUGCGAAGGCAGCUUACUACGGAUAUAUUGACACUGAGGCACGAAAGCGUGGGGAUCAAACAGGAUUAGAUACCCUGGUAGUCCACGCCCUAAACGAUGGAUACUCGACAUCAGCGAUACACUGUUGGUGUCUGAGCGAAAGCAUUAAGUAUCCCACCUGGGAAGUACGAUCGCAAGAUUGAAACUUAAAGAGUAGUAGCGNGNGAGUGCGACGAGCACACGGAGGUUAGG